GAUCCUGGCUCAGGACGAACGCUGGCGGCGUGCCUAAUACAUGCAAGUUGAGCGCUGAAGGUUGGUACUUGUACCGACUGGAUGAGCAGCGAACGGGUGAGUAACGCGUGGGGAAUCUGCCUUUGAGCGGGGGACAACAUUUGGAAACGAAUGCUAAUACCGCAUAAAAACUUUAAACACAAGUUUUAAGUUUGAAAGAUGCAAUUGCAUCACUCAAAGAUGAUCCCGCGUUGUAUUAGCUAGUUGG
rnacentral:rRNA from 1 species